CAAAAGGAAUUUUCGGGACUCCUGACAGCAGGAGGCCUAAAAGUUGUGUCUUUCUAGAGAAAUGGUGCCAGUGUUUUUCUUAUGCUUAAGAGUUUUUUCUUCAUGGAGUCUGUUGGAGUGCAGUGUUGGCAGCGUGACAGAGAGCUCUCCUAGGGCUAAACAAACAGCUGCGGCAUAUGGCCGUGUUCCCGUACACGCCAGCAGCAGCAGCAGCGGCGGCAGCAGGCUCGCUCGGGAUUCAUUAGACGCAGGGGCCUGAGCCGUGCCCCCCGAUGAAAGCCUGGUGUCAAGGCGUGAGCUCUGAUGCCACGACGAGGGAGCGGGAGGCAGGAGGAUGGGGAGGAGGGGGUGCUUCGCGAAGACCCACCCCUGGGUAUCUAUCACACAGCCAUCACUCGGGAGCAGAGUAGACCUGAUAAAUAAAUCAACUUAGGGGCCCAGUGAGGUUUCAGGGCCUAUUCCUCUUUAUAAGUACAGCAGGGUGAGAGAUGGAGAGAAAAAAACUUUGACUUCACGCCUUGGUCCCAGUAGGCGUGAGACCAAAGACACCAACUCUGUGAUUCUUUCAAAAAUUAAAUAUAUUCACU